rnacentral:sRNA from 1 species
UUUUUUAUGAUAUACUGAAUAAAUAGAAAAGUGAAAAGAUGGUGGCCACUCUUGAUGAGAUGAUGCCUAUGAAAAUAAGUGAUCAAUCUAGAAAAGAAAAUGCCUUUUGUCGUCAUUGUAAAAUUAGGACAAAAAAUAACCAUGGU